CGGCGGACGGGUGAGUAACGCGUGGGUAACCUGCCUCAUACAGGGGGAUAACAGUUAGAAAUGACUGCUAAUACCGCAUAAGACCACAGCACCGCAUGGUGCGGGGGUAAAAACUCCGGUGGUAUGAGAUGGACCCGCGUCUGAUUAGCUAGUUGGUAAAGUAACGGCUUACCAAGGCGACGAUCAGUAGCCGACCUGAGAGGGUGACCGGCCACAUUGGGACUGAGACACGGCCCAA
rnacentral:rRNA from 1 species